rnacentral:rRNA from 1 species
UACGGGGGGGGCAAGCGUUGUUCGGAAUUACUGGGCGUAAAGGGCUCGUAGGCGGCCAACUAAGUCGGAUGUGAAAUCCCCAAGCUUAACUUGGGAACUGCGUCUGAUACUGGAUGGCUUGAGAUUGGGAGAGGGAUGCGGAAUUCCAGGUGUAGCGGUGAAAUGCGUAGAUAUCUGGAGGAACACCGGUGGCGAAGGCGGCAUCCUGGACCGGCAUUGACGCUGAGGCGCGAAAGCCAGGGGAGCAAACGGG